GCCGGAGUGGUGAAAUUGGUAGACGCGCCGGACUCAAAAUCCGGUGGGGCUUUAAACCCCGUGUCGGUUCGAUUCCGACCUCCGGCACCA
rnacentral:tRNA from 2 species